AAAAACAAAUACAUCUGAACUCAAUAAUCUAUCGAGAUGAUGUAUCUGGUGUCCUAGUGCAUAGUAAAGAUUCGACAUAUUGCUAAAAGUUGGUUGAAAUUGAACUGUAAAUACUCUCUGAUCCCCCUCCCAAACCCUAUUACUCCUAUUUCUUGGCUGCAGGAAACUAUUCAUUCUCCCUUGCUUGAGAGGCUCUAGAAACUGGGUUGUAGACACUUAAAG